rnacentral:rRNA from 1 species
UGCAGUCGAGCGGGGAAGGGUAGCUUGCUACCUAACCUAGCGGCGGACGGGUGAGUAAUGCUUAGGAAUCUGCCUAUUAGUGGGGGACAACAUUCCGAAAGGAAUGCUAAUACCGCAUACGCCCUACGGGGGAAAGCAGGGGAUCUUCGGACCUUGCGCUAAUAGAUGAGCCUAAGUCAGAUUAGCUAGUUGGUGGGGUAAAGGCCUACCAAGGCGACGAUCUGUAGCGGGUCUGAGAGGAUGAUCCGCCACACUGGGACUGAGACACGGCCCAGACUCCUACGGGAGGCAGCAGUGGGGAAUAUUGGACAAUGGGCGAAAGCCUGAUCCAGCCAUGCCGCGUGUGUGAAGAAGGCCUUUUGGUUGUAAAGCACUUUAAGCGAGGAGGAGGCUACCGAGAUUAAUACUCUUGGAUAGUGGACGUUACUCGCAGAAUAAGCACCGGCUAACUCUGUGCCAGCAGCCGCGGUAAUACAGAGGGUGCGAGCGUUAAUCGGAUUUACUGGGCGUAAAGCGUGCGUAGGCGGCUUUUUAAGUCGGAUGUGAAAUCCCUGAGCUUAACUUAGGAAUUGCAUUCGAUACUGGGAAGCUAGAGUAUGGGAGAGGAUGGUAGAAUUCCAGGUGUAGCGGUGAAAUGCGUAGAGAUCUGGAGGAAUACCGAUGGCGAAGGCAGCCAUCUGGCCUAAUACUGACGCUGAGGUACGAAAGCAUGGGGAGCAAACAGGAUUAGAUACCCUGGUAGUCCAUGCCGUAAACGAUGUCUACUAGCCGUUGGGGCCUUUGAGGCUUUAGUGGCGCAGCUAACGCGAUAAGUAGACCGCCUGGGGAGUACGGUCGCAAGACUAAAACUCAAAUGAAUUGACGGGGGCCCGCACAAGCGGUGGAGCAUGUGGUUUAAUUCGAUGCAACGCGAAGAACCUUACCUGGUCUUGACAUAGUAAGAACUUUCCAGAAUGGAUUGGUGCCUUCGGGAACUUACAUACAGGUGCUGCAUGGCUGUCGUCAGCUCG